UCGGCGGCUGCGCACGGUUGGCGGGGAGCGCGGGCUGCGGAGAGGCGGGCCGGGCCGAGCCGGGCAAUCGGGAGCGCGGGCCGGUGAGCCGGCGGCGGCGGCGGCGGCGACGGCUACCGGGGCUUCGCGGCUCAGCCCCGCAUCGGAAUAGGCUUCCGCGGAGCGCGCCCGUCGUCGAGCCACACCGCGGAGCCCGCUCCGGGUGGGCGAGCGCUGGUCACCGAGGCCCAGGCCGCUGUCGCGGUGCGUACUUGGAAUCAUGAAUCCUGUUUAUAGCCCGGGUUCUUCUGGGGUUCCCUAUGCAAAUGCCAAAGGAAUUGGUUAUCCAGCUGGUUUCCCCAUGGGCUAUGCAGCAGCAGCUCCUGCCUACUCCCCCAACAUGUACCCUGGCGCGAAUCCUACCUUCCAAACAGGUUACACCCCUGGCACACCUUACAAAGUGUCCUGUUCCCCCACCAGCGGGGCAGUGCCGCCAUACUCCUCCUCCCCAAACCCCUACCAGACCGCUGUGUACCCCGUGCGAAGUGCCUACCCCCAGCAGAGCCCAUAUGCACAGCAAGGCACGUACUACACGCAGCCCCUGUAUGCAGCACCCCCUCACGUCAUCCACCACACCACGGUGGUGCAGCCCAAUGGCAUGCCGGCAACGGUGUACCCUGCUCCCAUCCCUCCACCUAGAGGCAACGGGGUCACCAUGGGCAUGGUGGCGGGGACCACUAUGGCCAUGUCAGCAGGUGAGUCCUCUGUCCUGGGGUACCUGCUCUCUUUCCCCAUCGUGGGGGUUGGGGAAGAGAGAGCUCACUGGUGCUCUGACCCUGGUGUUCACUUUUCAUGGCCUGAUGGGUCUCAAAGGACGUCUGAUUCUUUGGGGAAGGUCCAGCUUGUUAUCUUUUUCUUUACCUCCCCUCCUUCCCCUUCCCUUUUCCUUCCAGUCGAGACUGGAGCUUGGGGUUUCGAACCAUGAAGCAGGUACCUACUGUGUAGACUGACUGGGUAGCCCUCUCUGAAUUUGAUGGGGCCACUUUGUUGGGGUGCUGAGCCACUUGGCAGUAGGGACAAGGAGUGAGCAGAUCCCCAUAGUGAGCAUGUAAAGCUUGAACAGAGUGGGUACUUUGUGAUCUGGGGGGCUGGCCCUCUUGAUCCUUCCCUUUGGUGUAGGCCAAGUUGCUGAAUGGGGUGUUUUCGUGAAUCUGGGGAAGCUGGUCUUGUGUUCAUAGAGAUAAGAGCUGCUUGUAGAAAUACAUCGACUUUAUUUCCCAAUGCUUCCCCCCAGGUCACAAAAAUCAACUGCAUCUAGAAGAGACCCCUGGUUAGGAUGAGCUUGUCUCCACGGAACCACAAAGCGCCUGAGGGCUUGAUUUGAAUCUCUAGGGGUUAGGUUACCUCCUGUUGGCCUGAGUUGUCUUUGGUGGGGACGCUGUUGGUUGCCUCUGGCUGGGACUUUAAAACAAAAAAAUACCGUUCAUUCUUUUUUUUUUCUAGACCUUCAGUGUAAGGAAAAUGUGUCAGAGAGGGCUGUUUCAGGAUGCAUUGUGUGUUUCUGCUCAGGGUGUCUGUUUUAUUUGAUUUUCCUAUACUUAACCCAUGAAGGCAGAGGAGUCUGGCACAGAUAGAAACUGUGUUUGAGGCCCGUGGAGGGAAGUCCUGGCAGACCCUGGCAGGUGUAGGAGGCGGGGGUGUGGAGGGAGGCCAGGUAAGGCUGUGAGAUAUGAGGUGGUACUUGUCUAUAAGCAGACACAAGUAGCUGCUGAGUUUACCGCAGUUGUAGGGGAAAUAACACGCUUAGCCUAAUGUACUCAGGAGCUCAUGUAGUUAGGAAUCUCCCUCCCUCCCCACCCCCCUUCGGCUGUUUAUCACCACCUUAACCAUUCCCAGCACACAGGUCAGUGGUGUCAAGAUACUGUUGUGAAACGCAUCUCCAGGACAUUUCCAUCUUCAGAACUGAAGCUCUAUGCCCAUUAAACACCUCUCCUCUCCCAUGUCCCAGACCCUGACAACCACCAUUCUCCUUUCUGUCACUGUCAUUUUUUUUAACUGCUCUAGGGACCUAAUGUAAGUGCACUGAGGCAGUAUGUGUCUUUUUGUGACUGGCCUGUUUCACUUAGCAUCACGUCCUCAAGGUUCAUCCAUGUUGUAGCAGAUGAAAAAUUUCCUUCUUUUUUAAGGCUGAAGAAACUCUUAUUUUUUAUCAUCUCAUCUGCAGAAUAAUCCAGUAUGCUUGUAUGAGGGGGCGCCAUCAAGGCUUCUGCAGAACAUAUUAUCAGUACGAGCUCACCGUGUUAAUACAGCUUUGACUCGUAUAUAAUCAAGGGGUCUGCUAGCACCAUAGGUCAGGGCCCUCCCCUCUUCUUGUUCACCUCCCUCCUUGCUAACGGGGUCUGGCCGGAGUGCUGCUGUCAGGUGGUGCGGGGGGUGCUGCCCUCCUCUGAGACACGUGCUCUUCCUUCCAGGUACUCUGCUGACUGCCCACUCCCCAACUCCUGUGGCCCCCCACCCUGUCACCGUGCCCACAUAUCGGGCCCCAGGAACGCCCACGUACAGCUACGUGCCCCCUCAGUGGUGAUCACCCUGCAAAUGUUUGAGGAUGGAGCUGUGCAGUCACACCACGGAGGUUCCACAGCUGGUGCUGCAGGCCUCGGCCUCCAACCAGGACUUUUCUUCUUAAUGCUCUCGACACUUAGCUCAACACUACUACAGCUGGCCCAUGGGGCCCAGCGCCCUUAGUCUCCAACUGACUCUGUGGGUUGGUCUUAAAGCAAAUCCAGUUUGGUGGGCUGCCAGGCAAUUUUUUAGCUAACUGUAAUGAUAAAAAAGGGAGUAUUAAUCUAUUCUGAAUCAUAUCUAGUUGAAUGCAUGUUAAAAAACAAACACAGAAACAAAGCUUGCUCAACCUACCUGCAGUGACUGAUGCAGAACCAUCAUAUGCAAAAUCCAAAGGAAUGGAGAGUAUUUUACAACUUGUAUCACCAAUGCACUGUUGUAAUGUAUGCAGAGUCUUAAAGUUAUAAGUGUUAACAGUGAAUUUCUUCAUAGAACAUCUGAAAUCUCUUGGAUGAUUCUUUAGCCUUUUGGGGUUGACGAGGGUUGCCAGUUGGAACCAUGGACUUCGAGAUUCCAGCCAUCUAUUCUUUUUGUGUUGACCCAACUGGGAGAGAGCUGCAGGGAUGGGGAGGUUGUGGGGAGGCCCGCCUCUGUGUGCGGUGCAGCCAAGUUAAUGGCUUUCUUUCCAUGUAGGCUCUUGGGGUCAGUGUGCUGUGGACAUCCGUGGGGAUCAUCAGGACAGUUCGGAGUAGGGUGGCCAGUACAGUUAGGGGCAUGAGGUGGUUGAGGUAUCAGCAAAGCAACUUUCUCUACUGUCUAAAUCUUCAUUACAAAUCUCUUAGAGAUGACGUUUCCUCUGUCAUUACUGGAAAGGUCCUAUGUGGAACUAAAUUAUUUCCCUGGGGUGGAAGAUAGGUGUAAGGGAAACUGCCACACUUGGACUUGGAGGAGGUAUUGGCCUCUCCUUUAUUUAGCUCUGAAAAGCAUUCCUUUUUUUUUUUCUUUUCUUUCUUUUUUUUUUUUUUUUUGCCCCCAGAGAAAUGUUUGAGUCACCUGAAAACUAUGUAGGCAUUGCAGCUCUCCCUCCCACAAGGAAGGCAAAGAUUUCAGCUGUGUGUUGUGAAGAAAGUUGUAUAUUUAAGAACUAUUAAAAGGGAACAAACUUUAUUUGAAAUUGAUUGUUUCUUGUAGAGAGGCAGUGCUGUGGCCGUGUUUAGGUCUCUCCACCUGAUGGGGACUUUUCCUCCGAGACCACCUGGAGGGGACUCUUCGAGGUGGGUGUGGGCAGGUGGGGAGGGCUGGUGCCUGUCUCUGUGAGCCUCUUCUCCCAUCUCUUCUUGCGGCUGAGAACACUCAGCACAGAGCAGCUGUGGAUAGCAAAGGGCCAGGCAGCAUCAGAAUGCAUUUACCCGCCAGGAUUUAUUACAGAAAGGAUUUUGUGUUUAGAAUCUGAAUAUUGUACAUAAGAAACCAAGAGGAUUUUUUUGCCUAAAUGUGCCCAACUUGUAUCGAUGGAUGUGUGUGUGUGUGUGUCUUCAGAUGCAGUCAGAGGGGGCGGGGGGGUAAGGGUUUGUUCCCUUUCAGCAGUCUGUUGGGGUGCCCCUUCUUCACCCCAUCAUUGUUACAAGUGCUGUGGGCCUUGGUUGGGGAGGGGACCUUACUCUCCUUACGGCUCUGGCAGCUGGUUAGGGCUCUGGCACUGGUGUGGCAUUCAGCCUGGGCUGGUGAAUGGGACCCCUGACCUUUGAGCCUCUGGUAACCUUAUUUUUUAUAGUAAGUACUCCUCAUAAUUUUCUUUUUCACGUUUUAUUUUAUAAGAAGUUUAGGAAUAUUUUUGCAUGGAUCAUUGUAAACAGAAGAUUUACUCCUAAUGUCUGUAACAUAGUGUGUUUACUGAUAAGUACUUUAAAUUGUUUCAAGAGCACUUAACCCAACUUGUGUGUGUUUCUGUGUGUGUGACAGCCAUUUACCCUAGACACACCAUUUGUGUCCACUUCUACAACUCUUUGUUGGUAACUCUUUGUUCCACCUCUGUAGUGGACAGUUUGUAUAUGUUCUAAUGGGCUGAACUGAUCCAGUAACAGAGAAGUUGGUUUCCCCAGUUUUGUGUAAUAGAUUAGAUGAUUUUAGUAUAUGGUUUUUAAAAGCCCCAAACACACACACACACACACACCACACACACACACACACAGACACACACACACACACCCCUACCUGUAAGGGUUGCAGUCAUUGGAAUUCAGGAGGAAGAUGGGAGAAGUCACAUAGGCUCUUUCUUCAGACUUGCCUGAGACUGGCACACAUAUAGGGUGAGUAUUUUCACAAGCACUGAAUUAAUGGUGUUUUCAAGAGAGAGAAGAGUGGGUUGCGUUUUCUCCCCAUUUACAUCAGCGUUAUAAACACUUUCUCCCCUAUAAUUUCUAAAAAUCUUACUUUCCUUUUGUGAAGUUGAAUGGGAGACUUCAUCAAAUGCUUUUGCAUUAUGGAAUACAUCUCUGUGGAAAUCUCUUCAAUUUUGAAACUAUCAGGGCAUCCACCUAUCAAAUAUGAAAGGUAGAUCUUGUCUAGCAGGUAAGAAUCUGGACGUAACAAAAAGUAACAGAAUUAUCAUAUGUUGUAAUUUUAGCAGCAUUUAGUUCCAGUAAAAUUAAGGAAUAGAACUUCUCUUAUAAAGUUGCAUAAUUUGAUAUUCUAAGCACAACAGUAGAACAUUCAAAGAAAUUUUGCAUUUUUUUGUAUGUGACAUUCCUAAUUUGAGUUUCAGCUGAAUUGCAUUUAUUGUAAAAGUUGAGACAGGCAAGUGAAGGAACUAAUUCUUGUAAACAUGGAUUUCAUCAUGGAUAUUUGAAAACAAUUUUGUUCCACAGCCUCUGCCCUGAGGUUUAGGAGGUAUGCUUCUCAGCUCACAGAAACCUUGUUUAGAUCUGGGCCGAUUGACUGAACCUCUAGUGAUGCGUGGUGGUCCCAUCAGCCUGCUGCCUCUGAGAAGCGAGGCCAGCAUCAGGGCUAGGGCUGAUUGUGGCAACAGGCACAGAGGCGUUUCCAGAACCUUUUGUCUCUUGUGUUCAGUCUUUUCCAAACAUUCUUGUUGGUUUGGUCAUUAGGCCUGCCAGUGUGACUGUUUCUCGAGUGCUAUGCAAAGGUAGUGUUUACAGGAGCCGAGGGCGGUCCUGGGCCUUGGGCUGGAUGCCUGCUCAGUACCACCCUGCCCUUCCGUGGCUGGGUGUGCAGUGCCUCGCUCCAGUGCUGGCAUCGGCACUUGAGAAGCAAGAGGAAAUAGAUAUUUUAGGCGCCUGCGACAUGCUAAUCGGUGGCACUGGUUGCAUCAGUAUUGGGGCCUACUUUAAGAAGAAAACCUAGACUUCUUCACCUGUGCUGUGUAAGCAUUUAGAAACAGUGUUGCCCUGAUCAGUCCGGCCGCCACCUCCCCAUCUGGUAGCUGAUGGCUGGGCACCCCAGUUCUUGCCAGCCUGGGCACUGCCCAGACAGGACAGGACACCAGUCUGACCCCCUCUGGUGGUGUGAGGGUAGGCUUAAGGGUGUGGGGCCUGAGGUGGGAGACAGUUUCUGUUCUCUUGGUGCUUUCUAAGGAGGGGUCUGCAAAGAGGAAGGGCGGCUCACGUGGCCCUUCUCUAGAGCACACUUCAAAUGUUGGCAUGUUUUCUCUCCUGAGCUCUUUAUUACUCAACCUGAGCUUUCUGAAAGGAGCCCGCAGAUGACAUGCUGCAUAGGAGGGUCUGAUCUUUCCAGGUAGAAAGUUGCAGUUAUUCUUAAAAUGUUUCAGAGGAUGUCUCUUUCCCCACCCCAUUAAUUUGAAGAACAGAACCUUAUUGAGUCCCCAGGACUAACACCACCUGGGACAGGAAGACCAAGGCCAGCAUUUUGUCUGGGGAACCUGUCGGGAGCUUCAGGAGAUGGCUCUGCUUCCAGGAUGGGUGUGUUGGAGACGACGAGCGUCUUAUCUGGGCUGCCUCAGCCCUGUUGGAGUCUCCUAUGGGUCCUUGGGCAGACCAGGGUCCACAGAAUAGCUGGGCUGGGUCUGAGGCAGCUCUUCUGUGUCCCUGGAGCAGUUGCAAUGACAGCCACUCAAGAGAGGCCCUGGGAAGCCACUGUUAUUGACUAGGAAACGGUUCCUUAUUAUUAUUUUUUUUUAAUUAAUGAUUUUUAAAUACUGUUUUUUUAGGCCAUUCUCUUGGUACUUUUUUAAAGCUUAAGUCAGCAUCGUCUUCCAGUGUUAAAGGCACCCCUCACCUCUGCAUUGAGCUUAAGGUGUCAAUCAAUAAUAAAAAGGAGUAGAACAUCCAUCCUGAGCCAAUUCCAUUAUGUGUAAAUUCAUACUAUUUUAAUUUUUUAUGCAAUCUGAUGAGUAGAUGAGCUCAGAUUUAAAAUUCUUAAAAGCACGUUUAUUGUAAUAAGAAUUGUUAUGUAUUAAUACUGCAGUUUUCAAUAAAGAUUGACUUGUGUUGCA